rnacentral:lncRNA from 1 species
AAGAUAGGGCCCCCCAUGGUGGUCCUGGUUUUUCUCCCAGCAGGCUGCCUGGAGACAUUUGGCAGAACCUAAGGAAGACAGAGGCCUCCUGGGGAAUUGGUAUCUGUCUAGCAUAAAACGGACACCUCUGUGCUGACUGCUGACGCGGAUCUGAAGGACACCGCCCACUGGCUCCCCAUUCUCUCUGACCCUCCCUCCUCCCCUCCUCGUCCAGUCUUCUGCUGAUGAAGCUGAAGAUCUUCCCACUCCAAGAAUCCUGGCCAUCCCCCUUCACCAGCAGUGAACUUCUUAGGCUCUAAGGCUCUGACCUGGACUCCAAGAUAAAUAUUUAAUGUAGAGGGUGCCGCUGAGCUGCCGAAGGUCCCAACUUCCUGUUUCUCACAAGAGAAGGCACAGUGUUGUGGGCAAGGGAGCUGAGGACUGGCUACCAGUCCCAUCUCUAUGGGGAUGGGGAGUCCAGUAAACAGUCUUGGAGGAUGCAGGUUGGGAGGAAUGGGGAGGGUGGCAAUGGAGGGCUGAGCUGCUGCAGCUCUGCUUUGCCACUCAGGCCGGGGGCUGGCUCGCCACCUCUCAGGUUGGAGCUCACAAGUAUUCGGUUGGCUUUACAAAACACAGGAGGCACGAGGCGCUAGGACCGCAGGGCAGAAGGGAGUAGCCAAGAACACAACACGGACUCUUCUAGAGUCCGUAACCAACCCAGCAGUGAGGAGCUGAAGCCAAGUCACCAUAGAUGAUAUACUAGCACAGAUCUCGACUCUGUUUCAUCCCUGGGGCCAUCUCCUGAUUCCAGACAUACUGACAGUGAAAACAGAAGAAUGCUGGGAAAGCAGCUGCCAUUAAGGUCCUUUGCAGAUGGGUUGGUUCAUCUGGGGUUAGGAACUGAAAGCAAAGAAUCUGGCAACAGCUGAAGAGGGGACUUUAAGCAACUUUAAGAAAACCUCUCAGUAUUAUUAUUUUAAAAGGUUUAUUGCAUUUACUUGUUUAUUUUGUUUGUUCCACAAUGUUGUGUGAAGGUCAGAGGAUGACUUUUGUAAAUUGGUUUUCUUCUUCCUGGGGAUCAAACUUAAGUAAGCAGGCUAAGCAAUCUCACUAGCCCACCCUUAUUAUUACUUUUAAAAGGAACUUUAUUAGAACACAUGAAAAUGAACCCAGGAGUGGAGGCCCAGGGGCAGUAGAGGGCUUUCACAGCAUGUGCAAGGCAGGGGGUUCAAUCUUAUGUAUCACACACACACACCCACCCACACACACUCUACAAUCAUAGAGCUCAGAAACCGAAAGGAAGUAAAUUAUUAUGGAGGCAGUUCCACCUGGACCUUAAAAAUCACUAGGUUUGGGCUGUUCUCUUGGAAGUCCAAGUUUCCCUCAGAAGAGAAGCAAUUUUAGCCAUUGAGAUUGGUACUGAGCAGAAAGGGGAAAAACUGAAAGACAUUUUUUUUUUUUUUUUUUUGAGACAGGGUUUCUCUGUGUAGCCCUGGCUGUCCUGGACAACUCACUUUGUAGACCAGGCUGGCCUCGAACUCAGAAAUUCACCUGCCUCUGCCUCCCAAGUGCUGGGAUUAAAGGUGUGCGCCACCACGCCCGGCUAUUGAAAGACAUUUUUGAGUUAUGUCGU